GAGAGAGAGAGAGAGAGAAAGAGAUGGAGACACAGCUAUACAUAGAGAAGAAGAGAGAUGGAGAUGGAGACACAGCUAUACAUAGGGAGUGAGAGAGAGAGAGAGAGAGAGAAAGAGAUGGAGAUGGAGACACAGCUAUACAUAGGGAUGGAGAUGGAGACACAGAGAGAGAGAGAGAGAGAGAGAUGGAGAUGGAGACACAGCUAUACAUAGAGAGUGAGAGAGAGAGAGAGAGAAAGAGAUGGAGAUGGAGACACAGCUAUACAUAGGGAGUGAGAGAGAGAGAGAGAGAGAAAGAGAUGGAGAUGGAGACACAGC
ensembl:lncRNA